CAGCCGCCACGGUAAUACGUAGGGUGCGAGCGUUAAUCGGAAUUACUGGGCGUAAAGCGUGCGCAGGCGGUUGUGUAAGACAGGUGUGAAAUCCCCGGGCUUAACCUGGGAACUGCGCUUGUGACUGCACAGCUAGAGUAUGGCAGAGGGGGGUGGAAUUCCACGUGUAGCAGUGAAAUGCGUAGAGAUGUGGAGGAACACCGAUGGCGAAGGCAGCCCCCUGGGCCAAUACUGACGCUCAUGCGCGAAAGCGUGGGGAGCAAACAGGAUUAGAUACCCCUGUAGUCCCUGUCUCUUAUAC
rnacentral:rRNA from 1 species